AGAUUGAACGCUGGCGGAAUGCUUUACACAUGCAAGUCGAACGGCAGCACGGGGGUAACCCUGGUGGCGAGUGGCGAACGGGUGAGUAAUACAUCGGAACGUGCCCAGUCGUGGGGGAUAACGUAGCGAAAGCUACGCUAAUACCGCAUACGAACUCUGGUUGAAAGCGGGGGACUCGCAGGAGCCUCGCGCGAUUGGAGCGGCCGAUGGCAGAUUAGGUAGUUGGUGGGGUAAAGGCUCACCAAGCCUGCGAUCUGUAGCUGGUCUGAGAGGACGACCAGCCACACUGGGACUGAGACACGGCCCAGACUCCUACGGGAGGCAGCAGUGGGGAAUUUUGGACAAUGGGCGCAAGCCUGAUCCAGCCACUCCGCGUGCAGGAUGGAAGGCCCUCGGGUUGUAAACGUGUCGUUUUAGGACGGUAACGAAAAGCCGCUCUCUAAUACGAGGCGGUCAUGACGGUACCGUCAGAAUAAGCGACCGACUAACUACGUGACCAGCAGA
rnacentral:rRNA from 1 species